AAGCCAGACUCCUACGGGAGGCAGCAGUGGGGAAUAUUGCACAAUGGGGGAAACCCUGAUGCAGCGACGCCGCGUGAAGGAAGAAGUAUUUCGGUAUGUAAACUUCUAUCAGCAGGGAAGAAAAUGACGGUACCUGACUAAGAAGCCCCGGCUAACUACGUGCCAGCAGCCGCGGUAAUACGUAGGGGGCAAGCGUUAUCCGGAUUUACUGGGUGUAAAGGGAGCGUAGACGGCGGUGCAAGCCAGAUGUGAAAGCCCGGGGCUCAACCCCGGGACUGCAUUUGGAACUGUGCUGCUAGAGUGUCGGAGAGGCAGGCGGAAUUCCUAGUGUAGCGGUGAAAUGCGUAGAUAUUAGGAGGAACACCAGUGGCGAAGGCGGCCUGCUGGACGAUGACUGACGUUGAGGCUCGAAAGCGUGGGGAGCGAACAGGAUUAGAUACCCGUGUA
rnacentral:rRNA from 1 species